UUGAAAGGGAAACGAUUGAAGUCAGUCGUACCAGCGGGAAAUCAACCUUUCGAGUGGGGGUUUUGGAGUUUUGAAGAGUGUCAAAACCUUUGAGAUUUCAAAAUUUUCGCUCCUUUGGUGUACUUUCUCGUGGGUAGGUUAACAUCGAUUUCGAUCAUCAUAAAAGGAUUGGAGGAAUGUAGCUUCGAUCUUGUAUUGAAGUGUUAUAGCCCUUGGUAAAUGUGAUGAUUAGGAUCGAGGAUUGCAACGAAUACCCUUUUGGGCUAUCCGCCUGAUCUCUGAUACGUGGCCUUGGUAUCGAAAGCUUGCUUAUGGUAUUAAGGUAUUACGGUCAAAAGGUUAGAACGGAUUACAUUCGUUAAGGAUGUUGACGUA
rnacentral:rRNA from 1 species